UAAAUUAAAAGAUUUUGAAAAUAGUUUAUCAAAAUAGGUUGCAUGCUCAUGUCUAUUGAUUGUGGUUAUUUGGAUUAGCUUUUCCUGCCUUGAUUAUUAUAUAAUCACUUGAUGCUCUGGUAAGAUGGCUUUUCCUGACAUU